rnacentral:rRNA from 1 species
GAUGAACGCUGGCGGCGUGCCUAAUACAUGCAAGUCGAGCGAAUGGAUUAAGAGCUUGCUCUUAUGAAGUUAGCGGCGGACGGGUGAGUAACACGUGGGUAACCUGCCCAUAAGACUGGGAUAACUCCGGGAAACCGGGGCUAAUACCGGAUAACAUUUUGAACCGCAUGGUUCGAAAUUGAAAGGCGGCUUCGGCUGUCACUUAUGGAUGGACCCGCGUCGCAUUAGCUAGUUGGUGAGGUAACGGCUCACCAAGGCAACGAUGCGUAGCCGACCUGAGAGAGUGAUCGGCCACACUGGGACUGAGACACGGCCCAGACUCCUACGGGAGGCAGCAGUAGGGAAUCUUCCGCAAUGGACGAAAGUCUGACGGAGCAACGCCGCGUGAGUGAUGAAGGCUUUCGGGUCGUAAAACUCUGUUGUUAGGGGAGAACAAGUGCUAGUUGAAUAAGCUGGCACCUUGACGGUACCUAACCAGAAAGCCACGGCUAACUACGUGCCAGCCGCCGCGGUAA